rnacentral:rRNA from 1 species
AACAAACGCUGGCGGCGUGCCUAAUACAUGCAAGUCGAACGGGGAAAGCUUUCGGGUGAGUACUAGUGGCGCACGGGUGAGGAGCGCGUGGAUAAUCUGCCUUGGAGUGGGGGAUAACUAGUCGAAAGAUUAGCUAAUACCGCAUAAGACCACAGGAGCUGCGGCUCUAGGGGUCAAAGGUUUUUCGUUCCAAGAUGAGUCCGCGUAAGAUUAGCUAGUUGGUGAGGUAAUGGCUCACCAAGGCGACGAUCUUUAACUGGUCUGAGAGGAUGAUCAGUCACAAUGGAACUGAGACACGGUCCAGGCUCCUACGGGAGGCAGCAGGAGGGAAUAUUGCACAAUGGGGGAAACCCUGAUGUAGCGACGCCGCGUGAGUGAUGAAGGCCUUCGGGUCGUAAAGCUCUGUCGCAGGGGAAUAACAAAAUGAAGGUACCCUGUAAGAAAGGAUCGGCUAACUUCGUGCCAGCCGCCGCAGUAACAC